GGAGGAAAAGAAACUAACAAGGAUUCCCCUAGUAACUGCGAGUGAAGCGGGAAAAGCUCAAAUUUGUAAUCUGGCGGUCUUGGGCCGUCCGAAUUGUAAACUAGAGAAGUGUUAUCCGCGCUGGACCGUGUACAAGUCCCCUGGAAUGGGGCGUCAUAGAGGGUGAGAAUCCCGUCUUUGACACGGACUACCAGGGCUUUGUGAUGCGCUCUCAAAGAGUCGAGUUGUUUGGGAAUGCAGCUCAAAAUGGGUGGUAAAUUCCAUCUAAAGCUAAAUAUUGGCGAGAGACCGAUAGCGAACAAGUACCGUGAGGGAAAGAUGAAAAGAACUUUGGAAAGAGAGUUAAACAGUACGUGAAAUUGCUGAAAGGGAAACGCUUGAAGUCAGUCGCGUUGGCUAGGGAUCAGCCUUACUUUUGUGGGGUGUACUUCCUUGUCGACGGGUCAGCAUCAGUUUUGGUUGCUGGAUAAAGGCUGGGGGAAUGUGGCAUCUUCGGAUGUGUUAUAGCCCCUGGUUGGAUACAGUGGCUGGGACUGAGGAACUCAGCACGCGCAAGCUGUGCUUAGGAUGCUGGCAAAAUGGCUUUAAUCGACCCGUC
rnacentral:rRNA from 1 species